UUUUGGAGGUCCAAAAAUUAUCAUGCGUAUAUUUUAACAAAUUAGAGAUGUGAACAAGUAAUUUUGCUUCUUUUUUUUUGAGAAAUAUUAGUUAAUUGGGAAUGCUGGAUUUUUAAACUUAAUAAUAUGCUCUUUUACAAAUAUGCAGUCAUAUUAAUGAAAUACUACUUUUUGAGCUGUUUCCAUCAUUAUCAGCGCUGAAUUUACUCAUUUUGAUAACACCUGCCUAUCGGUCGCAUUUAAGUGAGUGGAUCGAAAUUAAUGAAGAGAAAAGACUGCCAGCAUGGGAGUCGAAUUAAAGAUGGACAAACUGACCAGAUCGAAAUUUAUGAAUUCAAAUAGGUCACAAUCUGGUAGAACGAGUGUCGGUCAAGGGAAACUUAAGGUCCAACAAGUGUCUGUUCCGAAACUUUUACCGGAGAGUGUUCCUAGUCACUUGCAAGAGAAUGAACAAUUUUUAAUUUGAAUAUGAAAAAUAAGAAUUAUGAACUGUGAAAUGAAUAUACUACGGCAACAUGAAAUAUACCAGAACAGUAUUAUCGAUA